rnacentral:rRNA from 1 species
UACGUAGGGUGCAAGCGCUGUCCGGAAUUAUUGGGCGUAAAGAGCUCGUAGGCGGUUCGUCGCGUCGGCUGUGAAAUCCCGAGGCUCAACCUCGGGUCUGCAGUCGAUACGGGCGGACUGGAGUUCGGCAGGGGAGACUGGAAUUCCUGGUGUAGCGGUGAAAUGCGCAGAUAUCAGGAGGAACACCGGUGGCGAAGGCGGGUCUCUGGGCCGAUACUGACGCUGAGGAGCGAAAGCGUGGGGAGCAAACAGG